ACGGAAGGCAGCAGUGGGGAAUAUUGCACAAUGGGGGAAACCCUGAUGCAGCGAUGCCGCGUGGAGGAAGAAGGUUUUCGGAUUGUAAACUCCUGUCUUAAAGGACGAUAAUGACGGUACUUUAGGAGGAAGCUCCGGCUAACUACGUGCCAGCAGCCGCGGUAAUACGUAGGGAGCGAGCGUUGUCCGGAAUUACUGGGUGUAAAGGGAGCGUAGGCGGGAUUGCAAGUCAGAUGUGAAAUAUACGGGCUCAACCUGUAGACUGCAUUUGAAACUGUAAUUCUUGAGUGAAGUAGAGGCAAGCGGAAUUCCUGGUGUAGCGGUGAAAUGCGUAGAUAUCAGGAGGAACACCGGUGGCGAAGGCGGCUUGCUGGGCUUUUACUGACGCUGAGGCUCGAAAGCGUGGGGAGCAAACAGGAUUAGAUACCCUGGUA
rnacentral:rRNA from 1 species